AACUGAGGGAUUGUAUGAGCAUCCAGGUGGCUCAACUUCAACCGCUGGAAUAAGAGAAGGCUUUGACUUCUGACAAGACCUCAAUUAUCAAAUCAUUAGCUGGGGUCUACAAAGCACCUAUUUUAUGAGUAUUGGUAAUGGUAAUGGAAAAACCUUUGUCACUCCAUAAGUCAACCAGACCAGAUGCUGAGUCCUGUUUGUUCUGAGAGAUGCAAACA